CAAACCUCUUUCUGUUGUGCAUUGCUUAAAGAGAACACUGAGUUAUUAGCGAAUGUUUGAAUCAUAAGUUAUUCAUGUGGUUUCAAAUGUUGGGUCAUACACUUCAUCAAGUUAUUUAAAUUUUUGUGUGUCAAAUGUGCUCUGUGUUCAUUUUAGUUACUGAAUUGUAAAGUAUAAGAAAUUCAAAGAAAAUGUUAAAUUUUAG